AUUUGCUACCCAAGAUACCCCUGGGCGCCUCACCUUUGGUGACAUAUCCGCAACGUAAACCUCAGAAGAAGUCCCUCCUCUUCACCUACAUGCAGUUCAAAUGGGAACCAUUUGCUACCCAAGAUACCCCUGGGCUCCUCACCUUCGGUGACAUAUCCGCAACGUAAACCUCAGAAGAAGAUUACAUCCGGAUUUCGUACUUAAAACUUUUAUCAUAUGGAAUUAGGCUGUGGCUCGGUUUUGGUAACUAUACUUUGAUAACCUCUUUUAUUUUUACUGCGAGGGGCUUCAUUAGUUUGCAAUUCUUGCAUUUUUUUAUUCCAUCAUGUUGACAGUAUAAAAGAAACUUAACUGUGCAUUCACUGAUUCAUUUUCCAAACCAAGAAAAUAUCUUUUGUUGUACAAAUGCAUCCACUGCUAUGUCCCAAUUGCAGUAUUAUAUGAGUAAGAGAAACAUAGGAGUUAUCU
rnacentral:lncRNA from 1 species